CGUCAUGAUAGUAGGGGAAGAGGAUUUACGAUCGAUCAAAGGUUGCUUCGUGGAACGGUUGUAAUUCUUACGUAUGCCAACUAAUACUUCUCGCACUGAGAGAUCCAGAUCAUGUCAAUACACCCAAGAACAUCUUUCUAAGGCAUAUUCUGCUGUAAUAAACGAUCGCGUAAAAAUCCACUGUACUGACGUCUCAUUGGAUACGUGGACUGCUGGUCGGACUAAUCAUGGCGUUCUCCGCAACAUAAUAUAUAGACUUUAAUUUAAUACGUGAUACUCACUUUAUGAUCUGAGAGGUGUGCUUUGUAUCCGUGUGUUUAGCAUGAAUUAAACAUGCACCUGACAACAUCAUGGCUUUGUUGAUUUGUUGAACUGUUGCUUAGUAGUAGGGCGAUAGUUCUCUAACCCGGACACCCAUGGGAUCAAGUACACAGUCCUGUCUCGGGCAUGUUUUCCAGUAACACCAUUUCGCAUGUGUUUCCACGUGCAGGUUUAUCGAUACAGUGUAGUGUUCUCACUGGGUGAAAAUUAAAGGAGGGCGGCCGCUC